rnacentral:rRNA from 1 species
CACGGAGUUAGCCGAUGCUUUUUCUCCGGGUACUCUCAGCUGAGCCACACGUGACUCAGCUUGCUCCCCGGCAAAAGAGGUUUACAAUCCAUAGGACCGUCUUCCCUCACGCGACUUGGCUGGUUCAAGCUCGCGCCCAUUGACCAAUAUUCCUCACUGCUGCCUCCCGUAGGAGUCUGGUCCGUGUCUCAGUACCAGUGUGGGGGACCUUCCUCUCAGAACCCCUACGCAUCGUCGCCUCGGUGGGCCGCUACCCCGCCGACUAGCUAAUGCGCCGCAUGCCCAUCCCUGGCCGGAAUCGCUUCCUUUGAUCCUAACGGGAUGUCCCGUAAGGAUGUUACGCGGUAUUAGACCGGAUUUCUCCGGCUUAUCCCCCAGCCAGGGGCAGGUUGCAUACGUGUUACUCACCCGUGCGCCGGUCGCCGGCGGAUGAAGCAAGCUUCAUCCCCGCUGCCCCUCGACUUGCCAUGUGUUAAGCCUGUCGCUAGCGUUCAUCCUGAGCCA